AGGGUCGAAGAAAGGCGGGGAAUCAAGCCAAACAAGGGCAAUAGGAGCGCACGACUCCGGUAAAUCUCAUGCUUAAGGUUGGCGACUUGGAACGAACACACCACAAGGCCGAAUGCGCUUCCGAUAUCAAGAUUGUGUCAAACGGGUCAAAACUUGAAUUUCAAAGUGUUUUUGAAGUUAAAAUUUUAUACUCAUGUUAUUUUGCUAGUAGGCUAAUGGUAGAUGUAAAUUUGGUUGCAUGAAUAUGAAUUCGAACCGUAAGACGAAUUUUCAAAGUUUUAUACAUGGUUCGAUCUACUCGCAGGGGUAUUUUUGUAAAAGUAUAUAUCCUUGGCAUGUAAAUCAUUAAAAUGUAUUGUUUUGAUC